AUUGAACGCUGGCGGCAUGGCUAAAGCAUGCAAGUCGUACGAGAACCGCGCAAGCGGGGACAGUGGCGGAAGGGCGAGUAACGCGCUCCUACGUGCCCCAAGGUGGGGAGUAGGUCGGGGAAACGUCGGCGUAAUACCCCAUGUGCUCUUCGGAGGAAAGCUUUUGCGCCUCGGGAGCGGGGAGCGUCCUAUCAGGUAGUUGGAGGGGUAACGGCCCACCAAGCCAAUGACGGGUAGCGGGUGUGAGAGCACGACCCGCCGCAUCGGGACUGAGACACGGCCCAGACUCCUACGGGAGGCGAGCAGUGGGGAAUAUUGCGCAAUGGGCGUAAGCCUGACGCAGCGACGCCGCGUGGGG
rnacentral:rRNA from 1 species